GAUGAACGCUGGCGGUGUGCCUAAUACAUGCAAGUCGAGCGAACAGACGAGGAGCUUACUCCUCUGACGUUAGCGGCGGACGGGUGAGUAACACGUGGAUAACCUACCUAUAAGACUGGGAUAACUUCGGGAAACCGGAGCUAAUACCGGAUAACAUGUUGAACCGCAUGGUUCAACAGUGAAAGACGGUCUUGCUGUCACUUAUAGAUGGAUCCGCGUCGCAUUAGCUAGUUGGUAAGGUAACGGCUUACCAAGGCAACGAUGCGUAGCCGACCUGAGAGGGUGAUCGGCCACACUGGAACUGAGACACGGUCCAGACUCCUACGGGAGGCAGCAGUAGGGAAUCUUCCGCAAUGGGCGAAAGCCUGACGGAGCAACGCCGCGGGAGUGAAGAAGGUCUUCGGAUCGUAAAACUCUGUUAUUAGGGAAGAACAAAUGUGUAAGUAACUAUGCACGUCUUGACGGUACCUAAUCAGAAAGCCACGGCUAACUACGUG
rnacentral:rRNA from 1 species